UAGGGAAUCUUCCACAAUGGACGCAAGUCUGAUGGAGCAACGCCGCGUGAGUGAAGAAGGNCUUCGGAUCGUAAAGCUCUGUUGUUGGUGAAGAAGGAUAGAGGCAGUAACUGGUCUUUAUUUGACGGUAAUCAACCAGAAAGUCACGGCUAACUACGUGCCAGCAGCCGCGGUAAUACGUAGGUGGCAAGCGUUGUCCGGAUUUAUUGGGCGUAAAGCGAGCGCAGG
rnacentral:rRNA from 1 species